UAUUUAGUGUAAGUAUGUCCCAUGCAGUAUCUGGGACAUACUUAUACUGAUA
rnacentral:pre_miRNA from 1 species